GCCUGGGUGGCUCAGUCGGUUGAGCGUCUGACUUCGGCUCAGGUCAUGAUUUUGCGGUUAGUGAGUUCAAGUCCCACAUUGGGCU
rnacentral:tRNA from 1 species